AAACAGAGUUCUAUAAUUUAGAUCUCUCUGCCACCAUGUGGGAUGGCUCUGCUGGACACAGGGAGUCCAGUGAAGAUGCUUUUCCAAUUAUGUUGCCAAGAAGUAAUAAGGACCUGAACUGAGGAAGCCAUGGCUUCUGUGGAUUUCUGAGAGAGCGGAGGAGGAGCAUGUACAAUCACCACAAGCUCCAUGGCUGACCAGCACAGGCAUUAGGGAGAAAAGUCAGAAAAGUGUUGUAUAAGAUUCACAUAGAAAUAAGGACAAGAACAAGAACUGCACAAGAGUUGACACUGGAGACUGGAAUGCUACUCAAAGAACAGAAUUCCCCCAAA
rnacentral:lncRNA from 10 species